ACCCCAGCCAGCAUGGCCGGCAGGAGCGCACCGCGCUGUCUCCCUCCAGGGAUCCGCACCGCCCUACAAUCCUGCUUUGUGCUGAGAUUGUAGUCCUGCAGGCGUACAACUAACAAGCUGGGUGCAGAUAAGAGACUACAGCUCCCCGCAUCCCAAGCAAAGGUCCCUCCUCUACGGAGCCCCUCCACGCGUCCACUGCGGUUCCGCCGUGCCAAGGGGAGCUUGGCUGUUCACGGGCCUCACCUGCUAGCGAGAAGAUAGCUUGGCCGGGCGGCUGAUCUCACCUUGUAAUUCUGACACUGUGUCUCCCGGGCUUGUCGGCUUCAUGACUUGUGCCCAAAGUUUGAUUUCUCGCAGACCAGGUAAAAGCCAAGAGGCUCUCAUAGGCGCCUUGGCAGAGUUGCCAUUGGAACGGGCGUCCUCUAGUAGCUGGGAUCUCCCCGCCCCUUCCUCCUGAGGGGCCACUCCUUUCUGCCCCACCCUUCUUAUUGCCCCACCCUUUGCCACACUCCUUCAGAGAUGCGCAGUGCUGCCCCUUUCUAUGGGCAGGGCCGAAGGUCCGCGUGUAAAAGUACCCAGUCCCUGGUAACCUGACACUUCCCUUUUAAAAGCCACCUUUUGUCUAUCUCUGGCCUGCCACGAUUCUUCCUGUGCUCCAUAGGAGGACCCAUUGGACCCCCGGGCUGGCUGCAGGGCCCACACCUGGGUUAGACCUCGCACAGGGACGCUGCUGCCACUGUAAUAAAGCGUGCCUACACGCUUCUGAAACUGGUGUAGGAACAACCUCAGUUCUGUGAAAGGCGGACGCAGCAGGACAGAAUCUCCGUGGACAUCUGUCUGGAGGAGCAAUUUUACUGCGACAUUUUAAAGAAACAAAUUUAAUUGAUUUCCAAGGGUGUCCAUCGCGCUUCCUUCACUGCCUUGAUCAUGUCGGGGUCACCACCUGCGGGGGUUUGUCCUGCAGACCCUGACUCAACGACGGAUGAAUAAUGUACACUGACACAGAUCUUAUGCUUGUCAGUCCUGCUGAGCAUCCAGGCCACUUACAGACUCCAAGAAGAGUCCUGUCAGCCACGGCUCUGACUUGUUGGCCCUCCCGGCAUUUAUUUAGCACACAUUUAAUGACAGAAGUCUCAGGUAAACACCACUAGAAGGCUGGAAACACUCUUUUUGUAGAACAUACAAAUGGACAUUUCUAAGCACAUUGAGGCCUAUAAUGAAAAAUCAAAUAUCCCACAAUGAAAACUAGAAGGAAGCUAUCUGUGAUAAUGCUUUGUGGUGUAUGGAUUCAUCUCACUGACUGAAACCUGAGUUUUGAUUCACCAGGUUGGAAACUCUUUCUGCAGAAUCUGCAAAGAAAUAUUUCUGAGCCCAUUGAGGCCUACAGUGGAAAACUGAAUAUUCUGUGAUAAAACUAGAAACACCCUAUCUGUGAAAAUGCUUUGUGAUGUGUGGAUUUUUCUCAUCGAAUGGAACCUCUGUUUUGACUCACAAGGGUGAAACACUAUUUUAGUAGAAUCUAGGAAGAAACAUAUCUGAGCCCAUUUAUGCCUACAGUGAGAAACUGAAUACCCUGCAAUAAAAAGUAGACAGAAGCUAUUUGUAAAAAUGCUUUGUGAUGUGUGGAUUCAGUGUUAAACUUUUAUUUUGAUUCCACAGUUUUGACACCCUAUUUGUAGAAUAUAUGAAUGAACAUUUCUCAGCCCAUUGAGGCCUAUCAUGUGAAACCAAAUAUUUUAUAAUAAAAACUGGAAACAAGUGAUCUGUUAAAA
rnacentral:lncRNA from 1 species